CUUUCGAUAGCUCAGUUGUUAGGAGCGGAGGACUGUAGAUCCUUAGGUCGCUGGUUCAAAUCCGGCUCGAAGGA